rnacentral:lncRNA from 1 species
AGAGGCUGCUGGUGCGCCCGGGGCAGCAGGCGCGCUUGGGACGGCGGGCGCAUCGGAGGAGCUCUCGGGAGCGCAGACCGCCGCGGCGCCGGAGGCGGGAGCCAGCUCGGAGCACGGGGUCUGGACGGAGCACGGGAUCGGGUCGGAGAAGCCGGACGAGGCGCGUGGAGCUUCCCCCGAGUUCUCCCAGGAGCCCUCGCCAGAGCUGCCGCGCAAGUCCGCCCAGACGCUUGCAGCCAGCAGGUGGGGCGCGGCGCCGCCCGCGCCGGGGCUGGGGGCGGGGACCUGCGGGAGCUGGGGGACCGACGCGGGCCCCGGUGGCCCCGGACCCGGCAGAGCGGACUCCGGCGGCGCCGCACCCACCUCCGAGCCAGCGGCUCCACCCGCGCCCUCGGGGUCCGGCGGGCGGCGGUGAACCACGGCGCCCGCGGACAUGGACACCAGGCACUCGGCGGCGAAGUAGUCCAGGCACGCCACGGCGGCCGACAUGCUGGGACCGCCCGGCCGCCGGCGAGCGCCGUCCGAACGCGGCCGGCCGCGGGCGACGGAGUUCCCGGGAGCGUCCGUCCCGCAGCCUCGGAGCGAGAAGCAGGAGGCCGGGUGCUCGCCGCCUGCCGCCUGCUGCCGCCGCCGCCGCCGCAGCCGCCGCUGCCGCCGCCGCCCGCGCGGAGCCCGCCCCGCCUGACGCGCCCCUGACGCACCGGAGCCCGCGGGGGCGGCAGAGACCCGCCCCGGCCCGCAGGACACCCCCUCGGAACGCGCGGCCCCCGGCUAAGUCAUGUUUAACAGCCUCAGAAAUUAUCUUGUCUCCGCGUUCUUUCUUCUGCCGGCGAGCCAGUGUCAUUUGUGGAUUAUUAAAGAAACCUCUCCAUACCUGAUGCAUAAAGGUGUAUUCAUAAUUGCUCAUUGAAGCAGUUUUAUGAUGGUACACGAGGCUCUCUCUUCAAUGGCUAUAAAAUUUAUAAUCCCACCAGCAUUUAGGAAAGGAUCAGCACAUUAAUGAGAAUGAAUAAAAGAUGUCCAGAAUACAGAAAGAGAGUGAAAUUUUAAAUAAGACUGUCAAGACGAGUCUUACUGAGAAGAUGGAACUGGAGCGAAGACUAAGAGAAGGUAGCUGAAAUACAACAUCAUAAUUUUUACUGGAAAAUAGCCACAAUGAAGGAACACCACAAUUUCACCAUGAAAACCAGCACAACCUUACACAGAUGACAAACAUUUCCCCUCAAAACUUGUUAAACUGUAUUUGGGCUGACCAAAUUAACCAGAGUUAUUCUAUUUAUGGGGGAGCAGGAAGUAACUUGAUAAAAUGCUUUGAGUUUAUAUAUCAUGUCAAAUAAAUAGCAUAAUUUUAAAGGAAAAAAA